rnacentral:tRNA from 1 species
GAGGGUAUAGCUCAGUGGUAAGAGUGUGUGCCUAGCAUGCACAGGGUCCGAGUUCAAUCCUCAGCACUGCCA